rnacentral:rRNA from 1 species
UUUUUAAUGAGAGUUUGAUCCUGGCUCAGGACGAACGCUGGCGGCGUGCCUAA